rnacentral:rRNA from 1 species
AGGAGAGUUUGAUCCUGGCUCAGGACGAACGCUGGCGGCGUGCCUAACACAUGCAAGUCGAACGGAACUACUAGGAAGGAUCUCUUCGGAGAAACGGAAUUUUAGUUUAGUGGCGGACGGGUGAGUAACGCGUGAGUAACCUGCCUUUGAGAGGGGAAUAACGUUCUGAAAAGAACGCUAAUACCGCAUAACAUAUACUGAUCGCAUGGUCGGUAUAUCAAAGAUUUUAUCGCUCAAAGAUGGACUCGCGUCCGAUUAGCUUGUUGGCGGGGUAACGGCCCACCAAGGCGACGAUCGGUAGCCGGACUGAGAGGUGAACGGCCACAUUGGGACUGAGACACGGCCCAGACUCCUACGGGAGGCAGCAGUGGGGGAUAUUGCGCAAUGGGGGCAACCCUGACGCAGCAACGCCGCGUGAAGGAUGAAGGUUUUCGGAUUGUAAACUUCUUUUGUCAGGGACGAAAUCUGACGGUACCUGACGAAUAAGCUCCGGCUAACUACGUGCCAGCAGCCGCGGUAAUACGUAGGGAGCAAGCGUUGUCCGGAUUUACUGGGUGUAAAGGGUGCGUAGGCGGCUAAGCAAGUCAGAUGUGAAAUCUAUGGGCUCAACCUAUAAACUGCAUUUGAAACUGCAUAGCUUGAGUGAAGUAGAGGCAGGCGGAAUUCCCCGUGUAGCGGUGAAAUGCGUAGAGAUGGGGAGGAACACCAGUGGCGAAGGCGGCCUGCUGGGCUUUAACUGACGCUGAGGCACGAAAGCGUGGGUAGCAAACAGGAUUAGAUACCCUGGUAGUCCCCU